GUCUCGCCCGGGCCGCUCGGGCGCCGCGCCUCCUGUUCCGGGCGCGCGGGGUCGGCCGGCCGCCUUCGCUGCUCCGCCGCGGCUCUCAGCGCCGCUCAGCGCGGCGGGCCCGCCCGGGCUCAGGUGCCCCCCGCUCUCCGGACCUUCUCGCCCGGCCCCGCGUCCCCUCCGCGGGCUUCCCCCGGCGGCCGGCCGGGCUCGGAGGCUCGCGGCCGGAGCGGAGCGGAGUGCGCACGCCGGGGUGGCAGGACUUCGGCAAGACCAACUUUCCGGUUCGGAAGCGGCGCGGGCCGCGCGGCUCCUCCCCUCCUCUCCCUCCCCUGCGUUCCCCCUCCCUUCCACUCCCCCCUCUCCCCGCCCCCCAACCCGCGGGCCCCACCGACUCCGGAGCGCCCGCCCCGCCCGCUGCUGCCACCGGGCCGCCUCGCCCCCGCGCCAGCCCGCCUGGGCCUCUGCGCCGCCGGCGGCUUCUUAAAUACAGGAAAGGGAGGGGACCGCAGGGCCCCGGUGUUCCCCACCCUAGUCCCCCUUCACCACGGGCCACCGGGCGCCAGCGGAGUGGGCAGCGAGCGCGACCGAAAGUUCCAACUCCACCAAACUCCCGCGCGCGGCCCACCCUUUCCCGGGAUUUCGGGGAUGACACGGGGGCCAGGUGAGGGGGCUGCGCACUUCUGGAUCGGCCCCACACACUCGGCCCCUGGCGCGGCGCGCUCCCCGCACACGCGCCCGCCCCCUCCCCGCGGUCACACGCACGCGCCCUCGCCCUCGCCCCGCGCGCACAGGCGCGUACUCCCACCCGCGGCCGUGCACCCGCCGCGCUCCUUCCCGCGCGUGUCCUCUCUCCCCGAGCGGCCGCCAGGAUGUGCCCCCGGCCCCGUCGUCGCCGCGCCCGCGCCCCUCGCCCCAGUACGUCUUUUUUCGUUUCCUAAAUUUCUUAUUUUUGUCCAAACAGUCCCUAUCGCCACUUUUGAAAAAAAAAAAAAACAACAAAAACCCUUAAGGUUGGUUUUAUUUUGCCUUUUGGUAGCGGGCGUAUUCAUUUAGAUUUUUUUUUCAAGACAGGCAAAUAAAAGGUGUUUGAAAUCUCUAGUUAUCCCGUUUAACACACCCAUCGAUGGCGCUUUUCUAGUUAAGCUACGGGGGAAACGUCUUUAUCCCGCAGUUAGGCUGCGAACUUGUGCAGAUGCUCAGGCUUUGUGGAGACGCUCCGGCAUCUGGCGCAGAGGCGCCCGGCGGGGAAAAGUUUGCAGCCCGGGCUUUGGGGCGCGCGGGGGGCAGGAAUUUUUCUGAGAAGAGAGGGGCAUAGAGAGGCGGCGCGGGUGGGGAGAGAAAAAAGGAACGCAGGGGGGAGGGGGAAAAGCAGCUUGCAGGAUGGGAGUUUCUUGCAGAAUUUACAGGAUUAAGGAGUUUGGGGAAGUCGCAGAGCUGCAGCGGAAAGGCAGGGGUCUGAGACUACUUUUGAGAAGAGAAACAACGCAAAACGAUCGCUGGAGGGCCAGAGCCCUGGUCGAAGAAGCAGACACAGGUUCCCACGGCGUCUGACGCCUGCGGAGCAAGUCCAGAGCCAGCUGGACUCGCAGCCUCUGGCCCGGCGGCACCAACUCCUCACUGGGUCAUUUUGAGCGCGCUGUGCCCACCUUUUCUGUUGCGUGUGGACGUGGGGAGGAUCUUCUAAGUCCCUCCAACGAAGGCAAGUGUGAGACUCUGGCCCUUUAUUUGUAAGAAGCAAGCCUUCAGAUUGCAGAAGUGUCGCGCGGGUCGCCGUGCGUUGCGCGAGUGGGAAGAUGGAGGAGGCCGGCACGCUGCUUUCGUGGACGCAAGUGAACCGGGCGUGAAGGCAGGGUGCGAGCUCUGCCCUUGGCCCAGCCCUGCGUGGGCGCCGUCCCAGAUUCCGGGCGGUGCGGGGUGCAGAGAUCUGGAGAGACUUGCGGGCUCCCCAGCGCAGGCUGCUCUGGGAUUUCGUUGGAAGAUCCGGCAGAGCCUUGGAGGAGAGGGCCCGGGAGGCUGUGUGUGCAGCGGAAACUUGUACGAAUGCCCCCACAGCGGAAAUGGUGCGCACGAGUAAUUUCUGCGGUGCACCCUUUUAAAAAUUGACAAGUGAACAAGAUCAAUUUUUUAAGAAAGCAAAGGUAGAAAACAAAAGGCGUGCGACUUCUUGACUGGCUUGUUCCCGCCUUUCUUCCUUCUCUAUACUCAGAUCAGAAACUUUUCUUUAAUUGCUCUUAUUCAGUGCGACAACUUUUAAUAAAAGCAUUUGCAUUUUAAGCCUGAGUUGCAACCAUAGAUUUAUUGCGAAGUGACAACGUGUCUAUGGAAUAUUUUCGCAGAUGAGACAGGACAUGCGCUCUAGUCGUGCCCAGAUUAAAGCGACGCUGGGCCAUGUGCCUGUGUAGUGCAGACUCGGAGGGGCACACACAUACUCGUCACCACAUGACCACUGUCUAUUAAUAUUGUCAUACCUAAACACUCGCAAAAACAAAAGUUG
rnacentral:lncRNA from 1 species